rnacentral:rRNA from 1 species
AUGGGCUUCCGUGACAUGGCCUUGUUCAACCUUGCAAUGUUGGGAAAGCAGGGAUGGCGCCUACUGACGAAUCCAAACUCACUAUGUGCACGGGUCCUCAAAGGGCGGUAUUUUCCCAACUCUGACUUCUGGAACGCUUCGGCUACGAGGAGAGCUUCGGCUACUUGGCGUAGUAUUCUGGCGGGUCGUGACUUGCUAAAAAAGGGUGUUCGUUGGGGCAUUGGUAAUGGUGAAAAUGUUUGCAUCCUUUCAGACUAG